UAUAUAUUGUAUAUAAUGUUGAUACUUCACCUGUAUAUAAUGUUGAUAAAAAUGAUAAAAACCUUCAUUUUUAUAUAGUAUUAUUGCCAGGAAUGGUAGCACAUGCUUGUAAUCCUGGUACUUGGAAAGUUAAGAUCAGAAAGUUAUAAAUUCAAAUCCAGCUUAUAUACUGCUAAUUACCCUUUCCAAGUGUUGAGGUACCAUCCAUCAUUUGUGAAAUUGUUGUCUAUUUUAGUAAUAUUUCAUAUGACUUCUCUUAUUAAGAUUAAAAGUGUUGAUCUGAGUACUGAUUUUAUCUAGUCAAUGUGACUUAGGAAAGAUACUUCAAUAAAUUCACUAUGAUACAUAAGAUUAGUGAAUCUGAAAGAGAUAAUGGUUUAUUUUGGCUCACAAAUUCACUGAUUUGGAUCCAUGACCAUUUGGCCCAGUUGUUUAAGUUUGUGACACCACAGUAUGUCUUAACAGUAGGAGUUCAUAGCAAAAGAAAGCCAUGUGCCUCAUGGCAUCCAGGAAGCAAAGACAGAGAUAGAAGUUCUAAAGUCACAAUAUUCUAUUCAGGAUCAUUCUUUCAACAAACUAACUUGCUUUUAGUAGACCAACCAUCUAAAAAUUGAAUCAAUUCCCAAUAACAUGAAAGGCUAUCAGCCAAACCUUUUACAUGAAAGACUUUGGGGGAACAUUUCAGAUUAAAAUUCAAGCCAUAACAUUCUACUCAUGACCAUCAAAGGCUCAUGUGUUCUUUGCAGCAUAAAAUCCUGUAUUCCAUCUUCAAGACUACCAACAGUCCUAAGAGGUCAGUAUUUAUCAAAGGCCAAGUUUAAGUCUCUUGGUAAAAUAGUAACUACUUUGUAAGCCAGUAUGUGAAACAAAUACCAUGAAGGGAUGAGUCAGACUAGAUUUCUUUGUGUGAGAGACUGGCUGCUUCCACACAAGAAUGCCAGCCCUGUAUCAUUGUCACACAGUGUGGGAUAUAAUGUGGGUCUUCUUUGAGUCAAAAAGUCAUAUAUCGGUUGUGAAGCUGCUCUGUGAAGACAUGAUAAGAAUUAUUUUGGUUACUUAAAAUAUUGAGGUUCAAGGCUUUGAUUUUGAGUUGGCCAAUUGAAGUCUCUUGCAUUCCGGCUUCUAUUAAAUGGCCAACAGAGCAAAACGGUUUCCAGUCCUUCCAAAGGUGCAUCAUCCAUUGUGUCAUUGAUUGUUUUUCCUCAUUGUCAUUUCUAAUACACUAAUAAAGAUUGAUAUUGACACCAUAGUCCUUGAAAUAAAACUGUUUUUCAUCACUCUUCUAAGAAGCAAAGAUUUUAUGAGUGACCCUAAAUGGAAAUAUUAAUUUUCCUCUAGCUUUCUUUUAAUUUUAUCUUUCAAUUUCCAUAGCAUCUUGUACUGCAAAAAUUUUCUGAGUCUGACAUGAUGUAAUUAGGAAAUGCAUCAUCCUGGAAAUCAUUUCUUAAUAAGCUUCAGGCAGGGAAAUACUUUAUACAAAAUAAGAGGAAGACAUACUGGUUGACUGAAUCUAAUCUCAUUUUCUAUGAAAGGUUUUAUUUCUGCUUUAUUCUGUGUCCUCUCCUUCCCUUUUUCUUGUUACUUGGAAGGGAGAUAGGAAGCAAUUAAUGGCUGUCUUGCCCUAUAAUGACUGUCUUUCCCUAGAAAAAUCUUCUCUUUUUGCAAGAAUGUGUCUUAGGGAGGAAGAAGAAAAGCACUGCUUAUGUUCAACAAUAAUAAAACAAAUCCUCCAGUCCCUAUUGUGCUCAUGGCUACAUUGAUGACAAGCAGUAAAUCUGAUCAGAAAGAGAGCAAAGAAAGAUGCUGAUGAAGUACUUGAGGACCAGGUAUGUGUACCUGAUACUUUUGAUUAACCUCAAGAGUUUCCACAAAAGACCCUGAGUGUAGAGGAGAUAGAUACACUAGAUGGUGCAAGAUUUUGAUCACACUUGUGUCCUGGUGACAGCUGGCUGCAUCACCAUGUUUAUAAAGCGUCUGAUUUACAUGAGGAUCUAAGAUCUCUUCUGGAUAUUCACCAGAGCCAUAUUGGUUUGCUCAGUAUAUGUUGCAGUAUGUUUUGUAUAUGGAAAAGAUCUUGUGUGAAAACUGAAGAUUUUAAUUUCACAGCCAUCAUCAAGCAGAGAGCUGCAACCAUUGCUGACCAAAAAUUAGCAGUGUCUUGAAACACAGUUGCAAUGGAUCUCUAGGCAAAGCUUGGCCUCAGAAAACUAGAGUUUCAAACAACUUUCCAGUAUCUGUGUCUACCUUAAAUAGGAAUGGAAAUCCAAAUAUUGUCAGUCAUUUGGGAAAAACCUGCAUGGUAAAGGAGAGACCAAAUCCAACAGCUGAAAAGAAACGAGAUAAGAUGCAAAAAUCGGAACAAAAAACACUUCCAAAAUAUCACAUUCUUUUUAUAGGAGCAAAACGCUUAUGAAAUAAGAAUAAUCAGAUGGGAGGGAACAGUGGGCUAUUUGAACUUAAAACUUUAAUUACUGUCUUAGGCCAGGUACCUGGGUAGAUGGCCUGAUGGGAAAUUCUUGUUCAAGUUGUAGAUUGACAGAGGUUUAUGCGGGACAGUUAUUUGAACACAGAUUAAGACAUGGAACAACUUCUGGAAGACUCUGGUCUCAGAUGGAGAUGUCUUUCAAUCUAGCUCCACUCAGGAAGGUGUGAUAGUGUACCUUAUACCAUUGCCUCAACCUCCCUUUAAGGUAAGAGUUCAGUCAUUUAACACCAGAUAGUCACCCUCUUAGGUCUCAUCCCCUUUGGGUGGGCACAGUACUACUUAAGAGGCUGUUUGUGCUUGAACAGAGCAAUCCCCCAGAGAAGGGAAUGGAUGUUAUAUGCUAUAUCUAAGCUCACAUACCAGCAAUGAGUGCAUGGCAGCACGGCUGUUCACAAGCAUAUUACCUGCAUGCCACCUUCUCAUGCAUUUUCUCCAUUCAAUUUUGUCCUCUACUAACAGGCUUAGUAGUCAAAUUUUUCUCUUGCCAAGAGGAAAGCACUAUAGAAGUAAUGAUAUUUUGAAAUACUGUGAGUUAUUUUGGCUAAUUUAGCUGUGGAAAACUUUAAAUAAAUAAUAGCUAGAAUUGCUUGCACUAAACCUCAGAGUCCUGUGAUAAAUAACUGCCAACUCGCUGGCUGACACCUGGCGUCUGUCUCCUUCUCUUUCUAUUUUUAUGUCUUGGAUUACAUAACUGAGGAACUUUCCUGUAAACUUUCUUCUGCUUUCAUUGUAUUAAUAGUUGUUCUGUAAAAAUGAUGAGAAAGGAAUUAUCAAAGAAAUUAUACAAGAAAAAUAUUUCCAGCUGGGAAAGACAUAGAUAAGUGUAUACUGAAAGUGCCCAGAGUGAAAUGGGUGUGAACAGGCACAGAGGGGACAUCAUGAAGUCUUAGAACACCAGGGGAAAGAUGGGUUUCUAAGGUUUCAGGUAGGAACCCAGGGCUAUUUUUGUAAGCCUAGACAUAAACUAGAAUUCAUAGCAUCUAUAACUCAAUAUAUAAUUUUCUGAGAAAUCUUACAUUCCAUAAAGUUAACAGUUAAUUAUUAAAAUUAGUAGUGCCUAUAAAGAAAAAGAGCUCUGGGAAAGAAUAUUUAAUGCCUAUGAAUAUUUCACUUUUCCUUUCUUUAUUAUAUAAUUUGCUAAUUAAAGUACUGAAAUCCCAAUAACAGUUGUAAGAAAAUCAACACAGAAAGUUAGUGUAGGACUAUAGACCAGUAAGGCAUGUAAUUACCUGCAGGUCCAGCUAGGAGCAAAAACCCAGAAUGAACAUUCUGAUAGUGUGCCAUACCAAGUCAUGAAAGAGGUGUGUGGUGUCUCAUACAGGUCACAGACUUAGGUGGAAACUGACAAUUAAGUCAUAUUCUUUAGACUGCUGAGAAAUUGGUAUCAGAAAACCCUCGAGCCCUUCCUGUGCUUGACCAUACUCACACAC
rnacentral:sRNA from 1 species